GGAUGUGAGGGCGAUCUGGCUGCGACAUCUGUCACCCCAUUGAUCGCCAGGGUUGAUUCGGCUGAUCUGGCUGGCUAGGCGGGUGUCCCCUUCCUCCCUCACCGCUCCAUGUGUGUCCCUCCCGAAGCUGCACACUCGGUCGAAGAGGACGACCAUCCCCGAUAGAGGAGGACCGUUCGGUCAAGGGUAUACGAGUAGCUGCGCUCCCCUGCUAGAACCUCCAACAAGCUCUCAAAAAUUGUGGUGACCUGAACCAAGAUGGUAUUGCUAGAGUAGUAAGAUGUGGUCAGUAUGAGGAUAAGUAUUGUAAAGUUACAGUCUACAGAACUUU
rnacentral:snRNA from 1 species